AUUGAACGCUGGCGGCAUGCCUUACACAUGCAAGUAGAACGGUAACAGGUUAAGCUGACGAGUGGCGAACGGGUGAGUAAUGUAUCGGAACGUGCCCAGUCGUGGGGGAUAACUGCUCGAAAGAGCAGCUAAUACCGCAUACGACCUGAGGGUGAAAGCGGGGGAUCGCAAGACCUCGCACGAUUGGAGCGGCCGAUAUCAGAUUAGGUAGUUGGUGAGGUAAAGGCUCACCAAGCCGACGAUCUGUAGCUGGGCUAAGAGGACGACCAGCCACACUGGGACUGAGGCACGGCCCAGGCUCCUACGGAAGGCAGCAGUGGGGAAUUUGGGACAAUGGGCGCAAGCCUGAUCCAGCCAUGCCGCGUUCGAGAAGAAGGCCUUCGGGUUGUAAACCGCUUUUGUCAGGGAAGAAAAGGUUCUGGCUAAUACCUGGGACUCAUGACGGUACCUGAAGAAUAAGCACCGGCUAACUACGUGCCAGCCGCCGCCGUAAGAC
rnacentral:rRNA from 1 species